UGUCCCCUGCGUUGUGCGUCAAGGCCGCUUUAAUUCUUGAACCAACGCAACCGCCAGGUCGCGGACCCAAGGCUGCUGUUGUGCGCGUCCCAUCGUCGGACGUACCUGAUGCGGCCGGAACGCGACCGCCUUGAACCGCAGGGUUCAAGAUUCGCGGCCUAACGGCUCCUGCGGGGGGCGC
rnacentral:other from 1 species